rnacentral:RNase_P_RNA from 1 species
UCAGACGGCCGGGCGGUCGCGGGCGCAAGCUCGAGGAAAGUCCGGGCUCCACGACGACAUGGCGGCGGGUAACGCCCGCCGGGGGCGACCCCAGGGAUAGCGCCACAGAAAGCAAACCGCCGGGCGUUCGCGUCCGGUAAGGGUGAAAGGGUGCGGUAAGAGCGCACCGCGUCCUUGGCAACAAGGGCGGCAAGGCAAGCCCCGCCAGGAGCAAGACCGAAUAGGGAUCCCGCGCUCGCGAAAGCGGGUAGGGCCGUCGCCGGCCCGAGGGAUCCGGGUUGGUCGCGAGAACCGGUCCGCGAGGAUCGGUCCAGAGGAAUGGCCGCCGCGUCCGCAGCUUCGGCUGCGGGCGGCACAGAACCCGGCUUACAGGCCGUCUGAUCUC